AUUGAACGCUGGCGGCAUGCUUUACACAUGCCAGUCGAACGGCAGCGCGGGCUUCGGCCUGGCGGCGAGUGGCGAACGGGUGAGUAAUACAUCGGAACGUGCCCAGUAGUGGGGGAUAGCUCGGCGAAAGCCGGAUUAAUACCGCAUACGACCUGAGGGUGAAAGCGGGGGAUCUUCGGACCUCGCGCUAUUGGAGCGGCCGAUGGCAGAUUAGCUAGUUGGUGGGGUAAAGGCCUACCAAGGCGACGAUCUGUAGCUGGUCUGAGAGGACGACCAGCCACACUGGGACUGAGACACGGCCCAGACUCCUACGGGAGGCAGCAGUGGGGAAUUUUGGACAAUGGGCGAAAGCCUGAUCCAGCAAUGCCGCGUGCGUGAUGAAGGCCUUCGGGUUGUAAAGCACUUUUGGCGGGAACGAAAAGGACUGUGCCAAUACCACGGUUCGAUGACGGUACCCGCAGAAUAAGCACCGGCUAACUACGUG
rnacentral:rRNA from 1 species